rnacentral:rRNA from 1 species
GACGAACCGGACGAACGUUAUUCGGAAUUACUGGGCUUAAAGGGUUCGUAGGCGGCCUUGUAAGUGAGAUGUGAAAUCCCUCGGCUCAACCGAGGAAGUGCAUUUCAUACUGCAAGGCUUGAGGGAGACAGAGGUAAGCGGAACUGAUGGUGGAGCGGUGAAAUGCGUUGAUAUCAUCAGGAACACCGGUGGCGAAAGCGGCUACUGGGUCUCUUCUGACGCUGAGGAACGAAAGCUAGGGAGCGAACGGG